AGCCUCAACUCAUGUGUGACUACCCCCAAAU
rnacentral:rRNA from 1 species